CUUGAUGAAGAGAAUUCUAUUCUAUGCACAUGCCACAAUUUUUGUAUCCAUCCACUUGUUAAUGGAUAAAUAGGUUGUUUCUAGAUUGGAGCUGGUACAGAUAUGGUGCUAUGAACAUUCAAGUCUUCAUUUGGACACAGGCUUUCACUUCUUGUGGUAAACAAUUAGGAAUGGAAUGGCUAACUGUACGCAUAAACCAGUCUUUUCUCAUACCCAAAAUUACAACAUGGUUGAUGAUGAUUAAGUUAAAUAAGAGUCAAAAGAGAUUAAGCAGCAAAAGCCGUGGUCUGCAGUGACAUCUGGGAUGGCGGCUGUACCUCCACCACAAAGACACACGCUUAAACCAGUCCUUUCACCACCAAGGACCCUGGGUCUGCCCUAACCAGCUGAAUGACAAGUACCUAAAACAGUUUGUAAACAAUUCCAUGUGUGGCUGUUUGACUUUCUUCUCUGGCAUCGUUAGCCUUAUGUUAUUUAACAUACCUAUCACAUUGUUACUGAACUAAUGCAAAAUUUAAAAAAUAAGGAAAAUAAUGUAUAUUCUUGUAAAGACUGCUAAACAUUAAAGUUUCUUCUUUAAGUUA